rnacentral:tRNA from 14 species
AAAAAAAAACAAUAAAAAGGAUUCAGAAAGAAAGAAAAAGCAGGGGCGCCGUUUGGCCCAAAACAUCUAGCAGAUGGUCGGGACCCAUCGGAAAAAUUUGAGUUUUUUUUUUUUUGUCUACGUUUUUGU